UUUCCGUAGGUGAACCUACGGAAGGAUCAUUAAAAAUGAAGCCGGGAAACCGGUCCUUCUAACCCUUGAUUAUCUUAAUUUGUUGCUUUGGUGGGCCGCGCAAGCACCGGCUUCGGCUGGAUCGUGCCCGCCAGAGGACACAACUCUGUAUCAAAUGUCGUCUGAGUACUAUAAAAUAGUUAAAACUUUCAACAACGGAUCUCUUGGUUCUG
rnacentral:misc_RNA from 1 species